AGCGGCGGACGGGUGAGUAAUGCUUAGGAAUCUGCCAUUUAGUGGGGGACAACAUUCCGAAAGGAAUGCUAAUACCGCAUACGUCCUACGGGAGAAAGCAGGGGAUCUUCGGACCUUGCGCUAAAUGAUGAGCCUAAGUCGGAUUAUCUAGUUGGUGGGGUAAAGGCCUACCAAGGCGACGAUCUGUAGCGGGUCUGAGAGGAUGAUCCGCCACACUGGGACUGAGACACGGCCCACACUCCUACGGGAGGCAGCAGUGGGGAAUAUUGGACAAUGGGCGGAAGCCUGAUCCAGCCAUGCCGCGUGUGUGAAGAAGGCCUUUUGGUUGUAAAGCACUUUAAGCGAGGAGGAGGCUACCUGGAUUAAUACUCUGGGAUAGUGGACGUUACUCGCAAAAUAAACACCGGCUAACUCUGUGCCAGCACCCGCGGUAAUACAGAGGGUGCGAGCGUUAAUCGGAUUUACUGGGCGUAAAGCGUGCGUAGGCGGCUUUUUAAGUCGGAUGUGAAAUCCCCGAGCUUAACUUGGGAAUUGCAUUCGAUACUGGGAAGCUAGAGUAUGGGAGAGGAUGGUAAAAUUCCAGGUGUAGCGGUGAAAUGCGUAGAGAUCUGGAGGAAUACCGAUGGCGAAGGCAGCCAUCUGGCCUAAUACUGACGCUGAGGUACGAAAGCAUGGGGAGCAAACAGGAUUAGAUACCCUGGUAGUCCAUGCCGUAAACGAUGUCUACUAGC
rnacentral:rRNA from 1 species